rnacentral:tRNA from 1 species
GCCUGGGUGGCUCAGUCAGUUGAGCGUCCGACUUCGGCUCAGGUCAUGAUCUCACAGUUCAUGGGUUCGAGUCCCAGGUCAGGCU